GCAUCUUUAAUGGCUUCAUCACGGACUGCAGAAUGCUGCUAAACUGAGAGCAAUGAUUGGCUGAGACGCCCGGCCGCUCCCUGACCCCCAGAAUUUAGGCGGUCCUACUGAACAUCUACAGUACAGCCCAUACAGCUCAGUGCAGCAGGUAAACAGCUUAUACACAUUUUGUCUCCGGGGAGAAGUGUUCGAGUUUCAGGCAGUAUUGAUUCUGGAGGGAAAACUGUCAAAGUGGUGUACUCUAAAAGAGGCCAAAUCUGUGACAGAGUUUCUGAUCAACUUGAACUGACAGCACCUGUCUGACUUCCCCUUGAAAAUACAGCACAAAUGAGAGUUAAGUGAUGAACCAAAAGACUGUACUUCAACAUUUGAAGCGUGAAACCACUGGAUUGUUUUUAAUGAGACAUUGGGAC